GUGGAUUUCAUGGACCAAGAGGCAGAAGCUUAUCGAUCACAGUUCUCUACACUCUUCCAUGAGGAGCAAAAAAUGGACAUAUCUCUGGGUCUUCACACUGGAAUGCACUUUCCCCAGAAACACACGUAGCAUGCCCCUCUUAUCUCCUUCCGAUCUUUAAUCAAAUGUCCUCUUACCAGCGUGAGCUUGUCACAGUCAAGAGGGACACUUUGAAGCAUGCACAGAAGCUGACAGAGUAGCUGCAGAUGAGAGACAGUUUGAAGACGGCCUUUGAAAAUAGACUUUUGCUCCAGAGAAGCUAAGAGAGGACAAA